rnacentral:rRNA from 1 species
AGUGAACGCUGGCGGUAGGCCUAACACAUGCAAGUCGAACGGCAGCACAGGAGAGCCUGCUCUCUGGGUGGCGAGUGGCGGACGGGUGAGGAAUACAUCGGAAUCUACUCUGUCGUGGGAGAUAACGUAGGGAAACUUACGCUAAUACCGCAUACGACCUACGGGUGAAAGCAGGGGACCUUCGGGCCUUGCGCGAUUGAAUGAGCCGAUGUCGGAUUAGCUAGUUGGCGGGGUAAAGGCCCACCAAGGCGACGAUCCGUAGCUGGUCUGAGAGGAUGAUCAGCCACACUGGAACUGAGACACGGUCCAGACUCCUACAGGAGGCAGCAGUGGGGAAUAUUGGACAAUGGGCGCAAGCCUGAUCCAGCCAUACCGCGUGGGUGAAGAAGGCCUUCGGGUUGUAAAGCCCUUUUGUUGGGAAAGAAAUCCAGCUGGCUAAUACCCGGUUGGGAUGACGGUACCCAAAGAAUAAGCACCGGCUAACUUCGUGCCAGCCGCCGCAGUAA